CGAGCCGAUUUAAAAUAAAAUAAAAACACUCUGGCAGCGGUAACACUGGUGCACUGCGCGUAUCACAUAAUAUAUGGACGCGGGCGAUACACCGAGUAUAAUGUUAUGCGUGUUAAUUCAUCGCACCGGUUACGCUAGCGUUACAUUAAAGUACGCAUUUUUUUCGAGUUUUGUCGAAUGCUACGGAAGAGGCCGUGUUUUUAAAGGCCGGAUUUUCAAUUUUAUUCAGUCGCCUUCACAAGUACGUAGUAAAUUCAGUUCCCUAACAAUAGUAAUCGAAAACAAUAAUUUUUAGUAACAAGUGAGAAGGUCAUAUGAAAUAUAGGUGUACCAAACCGUGUUCAUUUAAAUGGCGUUACGUUUAGUCGCCUAACAACUUACCCCGCUAUUCUUUUUUAAUGUUCGUGAAUAUUAUGUAGGCAUU